CAAAGGCUUGGUCCUGACUUUACUAUCAACUUUAGCCAAACUUACACAUGCAAGUAUCCGCACCCCCGUGAGAAUGCCCCACAGUUCCCUGCCCGGGAACAAGGAGCUGGUAUCAGGCACAUUUAACUAUAAGCCCACGACACCUUGCUUAGCCACACCCUCAAGGGAACUCAGCAGUGAUAAACAUUAAGCCAUAAGUGAAAACUUGACUUAGUCAAGGCUAAGAGGGCCGGUAAAACUCGUGCCCAGCCACNNNGCUCCUUGUUCCCGGGCAGGGAACUGGGGGGGGCAUUCUCACGGGGGUGCGGAUACUUGCAUGUGUAAGUUNNGCUAAAGUUGAUAGUAAAGUCAGGACCAAGCCUUUGNGCUUACGGAACUUUCUAGGGCUCAUCUUAACAUCUUCAGUGUUAUGCUUUAAUUAAGCUACGUUAGCUUCAUGCAUUAUUUUAAUAAUGUAAAUANACACAUUUUGGGUUCNAAAACGUACUAUCAGAGGUUUUCCUGUUUCGG
rnacentral:rRNA from 1 species